CCUGCAAGCGCCAUCUUGUCGUACGGCUCCCGGCACCAGAGAACCCCCGGUUCCCGACAGCCUAGCAAUCAAGAGUGACCCUGACGCUGAAAGAGACGAAGUGCCGCGCUGACCUGACAGAAAGGACAACCGGCAACCUAACAGCAACGGUGAAGCGCCAGCAGCGGCGCCAUCUUACCUCCCCGCCGCGCUACGCCGCGCAGCUCACCCUCUGGCCGCUCUGGCCGCUCGGAACGCGGCCGCGCGGCCCCUAAACGCUGAUUGGUCGCUGCUCUGCCGGUGAUGUGCUGCUAUUGGUCAAAGGCAACACAUCACCGAGGGAGGCGGGGCGGUGAGAAACUUCGCGACGGAAAUGGUUGAGGUGAACUGUCUGUCAGAAACUCGGCCUAUGAUUGGGCCAUCGGAAAGGCGGGCCGCAGCCAGUCGCCAGGUCCGGAUAUUUUUCCGCCUCAGUGUGGUUCGCCUUUUGAUGGCCAUGGACUCCAGUCCUCUCAGGCAGCUACUUUGUUACCUUUUCUACACAACAGGUGGUGGCACGGGCCUUUAAUCCCAGCACCGGGGGACCAGCCAUCUACAAACUACUACCUCUAUUGCUGUACCUAAGCCAGGAUCUCCUUAUCCUGCCCAGUCCAGUCAAGAUUCUCCUGCCCCAGCCUCUUUCAUGCUGGGGUUACAGACAGUCUCUGUAGUCCAGACUGUCCUGAAAUCCAUGGCAAUCCUUCUGCCCCAGCUUCUCAACAGUUGGAAUUAGAGGCAUGAGCUACUGUGUCCACCAACUUGUGUUUAGACGCACUCACAGGGCUGGAGAGGUGGUUCAGCAGUAAAGAGCACUCACUGGAUGCUCAUCCAGAGGACCUGGGUUCGAUUCCAAGCACCCACAGGAUGGCUCACAGCUGUAAAGACUCUAACUCCAGUGUCAGGGGAUAUGACACCUCACAGGCAUACGUGUAAGUAAAACACCAAUAUACAUAAAAUGAAAAUAGUCUUUUUUUAUUAUAUUUAUUUGGUUGUGGAGACACAUGUAUGGAGCUUAAAGAACCAAUGGAAAUCAGUUUUCUCCUACCAUGUGGGUCCCAGGGACUGUGAGGCUCAGCAGUGAGCAGCUUUACCCACUAGGCCAUCUCAUCAGCUCUCCUCUUAAAGAUCUUUUACUACUGGUAAUCCUAAAGUUUGACAUACUUGCUGCAGUUCUGUUCCUCUAAUGUAUAACUUGUGUAGUGCUCAUAGUUUCUCUACAUUAUCAAUUUAACUUUUCUUCUUCAAAAUGUAAUUCUAUCAGGCGUGGUAGAACUUGCCAGUAAUUGAUCUCAGCACUCAAGACCUUGGGUGUAGCAAGAAGAUGCAGUUUGAAGCCAGCUGAGCUACACAGUGAAGCUGUCUUGAACAAAACAUACUGUCUACCAGAAACAUCAUUGUGGCUUUUCAGAGAUGCAAGCUACAGUUAUAAACUACAUCUUGGUGCUUGGUAGAUGAGUGUUUUAAGCUUUGCUACCAUAGUAAAGCUGUCGUUUUUUUGUUUGUUUUUGCCCUUCCAGGUACUCAUGCAAGAAUGUAAGUGAAGAGUUUUCCCCCAUCUACAACAUAUUUUACACCAUCAGGUUCACUGCUGUAGUUAAAUCUUAGUUCUCCCAAUGGACUUGAUGCCCAUAUGGUAGUGUGAUAGGAACUUAAUACUGUUAAAACCAAAGUGGUAAUGAGUCAACAAAAUCAAAGACUAAUUUAAGAACAUGGCACAUACAAAUAACAAUCAGGUGUUUCAUCAUUAACGUUUAUUGAUGGGAUGGAUAAAUACAGAUUGAGAAACAUACUUGACAGCAAGAUAUCAAACUGAUAGCCAGACUAUAAAAUGUGUAUACAAUAUCCUUCUUUAAAUUUUUUUUGAGUUUUUAAAGUUUUUUUACAAAGAGCCCUUAUGAUAAUGGUCACUUACAUCCCUAUCAUCAUUCACCUAACAGCAGUAGAGAUCCCAGGAGUAGCACCCAAAACUGAGGUGCCCCACGGAGGACAGAGGCAACAGCAGAAUAAUAUGCUGAGCAGUACAAAAUAAGACAAAAAACAAAACAACAAAAAAAGCUCACCACAAAAUUGUACCUGAGUGACAUAAACUGGUAAAAUGUGUUACUUUGCUUUUCAUUUUCUUUUUUCUUUUCUUUUUUUUUUUUUUUUUGUUCUUUGGUCUGAUAAGAAAAUGGACAGUUUUUGAUAGAAAAUAUGUGGAAAGUAAGGUAAUAUAUAUCAGUUUCAAGUUUAGAACCCUAAGUUACACCUUACAGUUUUGAGUUCUUAGGCCAGAAAGCACUUCUACUUUGUAAGUGAUUUCAUUAUGGUCUUCAGCUAAUCACUUCCUCUGCUUCCACUGGCAUUUCCAGACCACCUGAUGGGAGAUAUACAUGCUCUGGCUUCAAUUAACAUGCUGUCAAGCAUCCCUCUCCACAAUUAGAACAGCAACACAAAACCUAUGAGUCUCUUCAUACAAGCAGCAAUACGCACUCAAAAAGGGAAAGAGCAGACACUAAUUUUUUAUUAAACAUUCUUUUCCCUCUU